rnacentral:rRNA from 1 species
AGGGUUCGAUUCUGGCUCAGGAUGAACGCUGGCGGCGUGCUUAACACAUGCAAGUCGAACGGGAUCCAUCGGGCUUUGCUUGGUGGUGAGAGUGGCGAACGGGGGAGUAAUGCGUGACCGACCUGCCCCAUGCUCCGGAAUAGCUCCUGGAAACGGGUGGUAAUGCCGGAUGUUCCACAUGAUCGCAUGUGAUUGUGGGAAAGAUUCUAUCGGCGUGGGAUGGGGUCGCGUCCUAUCAGCUUGUUGGUGAGGUAACGGCUCACCAAGGCUUCGACGGGUAGCCGGCCUGAGAGGGCGACCGGCCACAUUGGGACUGAGAUACGGCCCAGACUCCUACGGGAGGCAGCAGUGGGGAAUAUUGCACAAUGGGCGCAAGCCUGAUGCAGCGACGCCGCGUGAGGGAUGGAGGCCUUCGGGUUGUAAACCUCUUUUGUUUGGGAGCAAGCCUUCGGGUGAGUGUACCUUUCGAAUAAGCGCCGGCUAACUACGUGCCAGCAGCCGCGGUAAUACGUAGGGCGCAAGCGUUAUCCGGAUUUAUUGGGCGUAAAGGGCUCGUAGGCGGCUCGUCGCGUCCGGUGUGAAAGUCCAUCGCUUAACGGUGGAUCUGCGCCGGGUACGGGCGGGCUGGAGUGCGGUAGGGGAGACUGGAAUUCCCGGUGUAACGGUGGAAUGUGUAGAUAUCGGGAAGAACACCGAUGGCGAAGGCAGGUCUCUGGGCCGUCACUGACGCUGAGGAGCGAAAGCGUGGGGAGCGAACAGGAUUAGAUACCCUGGUAGUCCACGCCGUAAACGGUGGAUGCUGGAUGUGGGGCCCGUUCCACGGGUUCCGUGUCGGAGCUAACGCGUUAAGCAUCCCGCCUGGGGAGUACGGCCGCAAGGCUAAAACUCAAAGAAAUUGACGGGGGCCCGCACAAGCGGCGGAGCAUGCGGAUUAAUUCGAUGCAACGCGAAGAACCUUACCUGGGCUUGACAUGUUCCCGACGACGCCAGAGAUGGCGUUUCCCUUCGGGGCGGGUUCACAGGUGGUGCAUGGUCGUCGUCAGCUCGUGUCGUGAGAUGUUGGGUUAAGUCCCGCAACGAGCGCAACCCUCGCCCCGUGUUGCCAGCACGUUAUGGUGGGAACUCACGGGGGACCGCCGGGGUUAACUCGGAGGAAGGUGGGGAUGACGUCAGAUCAUCAUGCCCCUUACGUCCAGGGCUUCACGCAUGCUACAAUGGCCGGUACAACGGGAUGCGACACGGCGACGUGGAGCGGAUCCCUGAAAACCGGUCUCAGUUCGGAUUGGAGUCUGCAACCCGACUCCAUGAAGGCGGAGUCGCUAGUAAUCGCGGAUCAGCAACGCCGCGGUGAAUGCGUUCCCGGGCCUUGUACACACCGCCCGUCAAGUCAUGAAAGUGGGCAGCACCCGAAGCCGGUGGCCUAACCCCUUGUGGGAUGGAGCCGUCUAAGGUGAGGCUCGUGAUUGGGACUAAGUCGUAACAAGGUAGCCGUACCGGAAGGUGCGGCUG